AUUGAACGCUGGCGGCAUGCUUUACACAUGCAAGUCGAACGGUAACAGGCCGCAAGGUGCUGACGAGUGGCGCACGGGUGAGUAAUGCAUCGGAACGUGCCCAGUCGUGGGGGAUAACUACUCGAAAGAGUAGCUAAUACCGCAUACGAUCUAUGGAUGAAAGCGGGGGACCGUAAGGCCUCGCGCGAUUGGAGCGUCCGAUGUCAGAUUAGGUAGUUGGUGGGGUAAAGGCUCACCAAGCCAACGAUCUGUAGCUGGUCUGAGAGGACGACCAGCCACACUGGGACUGAGACACGGCCCAGACUCCUACGGGAGGCAGCAGUGGGGAAUUUUGGACAAUGGGCGCAAGCCUGAUCAAGCAAUGCCGCGUGCAGGAAGAAGGCCUUCGGGUUGUAAACUGCUUUUGUACGGAACGAAACGGCUCUGGUUAAUACCCGGGGCUAAUGACGGUACCGUAAGAAUAAGCACCGGCUAACUACGUG
rnacentral:rRNA from 1 species